AUAAAUAACGACGCAUUCAGUGUUCAGUUUCACUUUGGGGAUCCGCCGUUUCAGCAACACUCCAACAUGAGAACCUUCGCCGCCAUAGUCCUGAUUGCUGCCGCCUGCUUUUUGGUUUUUGCAGAUGCUCAGACAUCUGUUACUAGGAAGCCAACCCUACCAACCAAACCAACCCUACCAACCAAACCAACCCCACCAACCAAACCCCCA